UACGGAGGGUGCGAGCGUUGUCCGGAAUCACUGGGCGUAAAGGGCGCGUAGGCGGCCUGAUAAGUAGGGGGUGAAAUCCUGCGGCUUAACCGCAGGGCUGCCUUCUAAACUGUCGGGCUCGAGCACAGUAGAGGCAGGUGGAAUUCCCGGUGUAGCGGUGGAAUGCGUAGAGAUCAGGAGGAACACCCGUGGCGAAGGCGGCACUCUGGAUCGGCCCUGACGCUGAGGCGCGAAAGCGUGGGGAGCGAACGGG
rnacentral:rRNA from 1 species